rnacentral:rRNA from 1 species
GCACAAGCGGAGGAGCGCGUGGUUAAUUCGAUGGCAAUUCGAAGAACCUUACCAGGGUUUGACAUGUAUCUGCAUAUCUUUGGAAACAUAGAUAGCCUUCGAGGGUGAUACACAGGUACUGCAUGGCCGUCGUCAGCUCGUGUCGUGAGAUGUAGGGUUAAGUCCCGCAACGAGCGCAACCCUUAUCCCCAGUUGCCAUCAGGUAAAGCUAGGAACUCUGGGGAGACUGCCGGUGAUAAACCGGAGGAAGGCGGGGAUGACGUCAAGUCCUCAUGGCCCUUACAUCCCGGGCUACACACGUGCUACAAUGGCAGGUACAGAGGGCUGCAAAGCCGCGAGGUAGAGCGAAUCCCAGAAAACCUGUCUCAGUCCGGAUUGAAGUCUGCAACUCGACUUCAUGAAGGCGGAAUCGCUAGUAACCGCGAAUCAGCAGGUCGCGGUGAAUACGUUCCCGGGCCUU